AAUGAACGUUGGCGGCGUGGAUUAGGCAUGCAAGUCGAGCGGGAGUAGCAAUACUCUAGCGGCGAAAGGGACAGUAAUACGUAGAUACGUACCCUCAGGUCUGGGAUAGCUACGGGAAACUGUGGGUAAUACCAGAUAACAUCUCCGGAUCAAAGGUGUGAUUCCGCCGGAGGAGCGGUCUGCGUCCUAUUAGCUUGUUGGUGAGGUAAUGGCUCACCAAGGCUUUGAUGGGUAGCGGGUGUGAGAGCACGACCCGCGUCAUUGGGACUGAGACACUGCCCAGACACCUACGGGUGGCUGCAGUCGAGGAUCUUCGGCAAUGGGCGCAAGCCUGACCGAGCGACGCCGCGUGUGGGAUGAAGGCUUUCGGGUUGUAAACCACUGUCAGUGGGGAGGAAAUCUAUAAGGGUACUCUCUUAUAGUUGACCUAUCCGCAGAGGAAGCAAGGGCUAAGUUCGUGCCAGCCGCCGCAGUAAAAC
rnacentral:rRNA from 1 species